AUUUACAUCUCUACAGAUGGCCACUUUUAGGUCUUAUGAUCAUAGGAUCUCUCUAGUUUGCAUGUGAAGCUUAGAAUCCUCCAAAAUCUCUUUCCGUGCUUUACAGGGUGUUGGCCAGGGAGAGAGUCUGAUGUACAAUUUUAAAACAAAGUCUGAAGACUGGAGAAGUCAACCAUGCAAUUUCAUGUGUGAAGCCCCUAAUCUACUGUCCCUUGCCCAGUAGAGAAAGACCUGAAACCGGACUUGGGUUAAAAUCACUUGAAUUAUGCAGCAAUAGAAGAUGUGGAGACUCAGAAUUUAGGUUAAGUAUAAAAAUCCACUUCCCAUCCUCUUUCUCCAGGGUAUGAUUAGCAUCCACAAUGGCAUCAGAGGAAGAGAUGGCAAUUGCUUGGAUCACCAAUGCUGUUUGGGAUGUAUACAUGGCUUUGAGUGGAGAGAUGAGCCUUAUUCACAUGAAUAACCGAUCUUGACCACCUGUAAAGGUCAGGAAGGAAUUUUGCCACCAGGGGGCUUUGAAGAAUUUUUGACAGUGAAGCUGCUGUUCCCUUGCUCCUAGCCUUUUCCUCUGUCCCUUCUCUCAAGUCAAAGGAAUUGAAAACCAACUAGUGGGUCAAAGCCAGGUGCCUCCUUGAAGAUGGCUAUGGCAUUGUUCUCUUCACUGGGAUUUAUUGGCAGUACUUAAGGAAUUUAAUAGAGCAGUCUGAUGACUGUUUAUAAAGUAGUCACUAGGGGAGAUUUAAAAAAAUCUCUGCAAAGAUCACUUUGCUUUCAGCAUUUAUUGAAAAAGUGAGAAAUUAACUUUUCAGGGAGGGAAUCCAGAGCCUCAGUUGCAGUUAACAAAUAAUGGUUACCUAGGAACCAGCUUGUGGUGGAGUCAGCAUGCAGUUUUCAUGUCAUUACAUCACUGAUCAGGGAAGGUAACCUGUACUGAGUGGAACAGCAUAGCACCUUCAGAUGCAACCAGCCACUCACAAGUUCUCCAUAUGAAGCUGAGGAAUUACAUUACAGCCAGUGGAAACCACAUUAAAGAUUUAUAAGACACACUGAGUGUCAGGGUGAUGCCAGAGAGCACACUGGAUCAUGUCAGACAAUGGGGUGAAGAGCACAGAGAGGAUUGCCUCAUUCGUCAGCGUAAAGCAGUAACUCCUGCCCCUCUGAAGGGAGCAUAAUUUGUGGCAGGCAGAGCUGACCGACAUUUUCCCUAUCUAGACCCCUUUAUAUUUGUUUGGAGCUAUACAAAAAUAAAUAGGGAUGCUUAUCCAAGGGCCCUUGGUGCCUCUGCCACAGGGACAAAACUAAAACUAAAUAGAUGCUUAUCCUACCCCAGAAAUACAUCCCUAAGAGAGGGAAAGUAGGCCUCUGCUGUUUACAAAAUAAGGAUGUAGGACGAUGACAAACUCAAGGCGUAGCAGACCUUACAAGACACCUUCCCAAGGAAACCAAGACAUGGACAAAUACAAUCAUCAGCAAAAAAAAUCCCACCAAGUCUGAGGGAAAGAGAAUCUUAUUCAGGAAUGAUUAAUUACAAACAUCUUAGCUAAGAUUUCUAAAUCCAAAAAUACCUCAAUACCUAUUUCAAGCUCUAUGUAGCUAGAAUAUGGAGUCGGGGCUGACAGUCUUCUGAGACCAGCUAGGUACCUCAGAUGACCAUAAAGCAGAGGGUCACGAACAGAACCUUGCCUCAGGAAGGAUGUGCCUCACUGGCAUCUCAACUUUUACAAGAUCUUAAAAAUCACAAGACACAAAGCACCUUUGGUUCCAUGGGUUUGUUUACACAGGGACACUCGGGAAAGUUUGGACGAAUUUACUAAUGGUGUGAAGUUAAUGCACACUAAAUUGCUGAGUGAAUGCUCUCAAUUAGAAGUAAAGUGGCGUUUACUGAAGCUUAACCCUCCAAAUCCACACAGAGUUUAGGGGUGCUUUAACUUCAGACCUUUAUUUUAUUCAUCUUAGUUCCCUGUGUAGACAAGCCUGAUUUGUAUAAUAUCUGGCAGUUACUGGCUGGGAGAGUAGGCUGCAAUUGAUCAGCAUUGUUCUCACCCUGCAGUUGGGGGUGGCAUUCAGCUGCACUUUUUGGACUCUCUGCUCACUCUAGAGGUGCCCCUACAAGUAGAUGGCAAAACAUGAAGAAACCACUC